rnacentral:snRNA from 1 species
AGCUUUGCGCAGUGGCAGUAUCAUAGUCAAUGAGGUUUAUCCGAGGUGCAAUUAUUGCUAAUUGAAACAAAACGUGAAGAAGAGAGGAGAAAGAAAUGGGUUCAGACUUAAAUGAACAUCAACUUACUAUAGAGUGCUAUUUGUAGAAGAGGUUAUACACAAACCU